rnacentral:rRNA from 1 species
CGUGGGUAACCUGCCUUAUAGUGGGGGAUAGCCUUCGAAAGGAAGAUUAAUACCGCAUAAGAUUGUAGUAUCGCAUGAUAUAGCAAUUAAAGGAGCAAUUCGCUAUAAGAUGGACCCGCGUCGCAUUAGCUAGUUGGUGAGGUAAUGGCUCACCAAGGCGACGAUGCGUAGCCGACCUGAGAGGGUGAUCGGCCACAUUGGGACUGAGACACGGCCCAGACUCCUACGGGAGGCAGCAUG